rnacentral:rRNA from 1 species
ACACUCCUUCCCAUUCCGAACAGGAAAGUUAAGCUCUACAGCGUCGAUGGUACUGCACGGGGGACUGUGUGGAAGAGUAGAACGUUGCCAGGU